AGAGUUUGAUCAUGGCUCAGAUUGAACGCUGGCGGCAUGCUUUACACAUGCAAGUCGAACGGGGUGCGGGGGCAACUCUGCAUUCAGUGGCGAACGGGUGAGUAAUGCAUCGGAACGUGUCCCGUAGUGGGGGAUAACGCCGCGAAAGCGGCGCUAAUACCGCAUACGCUCUGAGGAGGAAAGCAGGGGACCUGAGAGGGCCUUGUGCUAGGGGGGCGGCCGAUGUCCGAUUAGCUAGUUGGUGGGGUAAUGGCUUACCAAGGCGACGAUCGGUAGCUGGUCUGAGAGGAUGAUCAGCCACACUGGGACUGAGACACGGCCCAGACUCCUACGGGAGGCAGCAGUGGGGAAUUUUGGACAAUGGGGGCAACCCUGAUCCAGCCAUGCCGCGUGCGGGAAGAAGGCCUUCGGGUUGUAAACCGCUUUUAGCCGGGAAGAAAAGGCGCGGGUUAAUACCCCGUGUUGUUGACGGUACCGGCGGAAUAAGCACCGGCUAACUACGUGCCAGCAGCCGCGGUA
rnacentral:rRNA from 1 species